UAAGAUGGUGACAGAUUGCUUCA
rnacentral:siRNA from 1 species